GGUGGUGCCGAUAGACCCCAGACCUGUGGCAGACCCUGGACGGGGGUGGCCGGAGGCCAAGGGCAAGCGGAGGCGGGCGGCGAAGGAUGGCAGCCCGGACCCAGUCCCACCACCAUGGGUCUCAGCUGCUCGGGGCAGGACCUCCCCCUUCCCAACGCUCGGCGUUACGGGGCACAGACCAUCCAGGGCCGGAGGGAGCUCCUGAAGGGACUGCAGCAGCAACCAUGGCUGGAACUCUGUUUCUAGAGGCUGGGAAGUCCAAGAUCAAGGUGUUGACAGAGUCCACUGCCUGGUGUGCAGAUGCCUAAUUUCUUGCUGUGUCCUCAGAUGGCUGAAAGGAGAGAGAAAGGAGAAACUGGGAGCUGAGAGUUUUCCU